GACCCAGACUCCUACGGGAGGCAGCAGUGGGGAAUAUUGCGCAAUGGGGGCAACCCUGACGCAGCAACGCCGCGUGAUUGAAGAAGGCCUUCGGGUUGUAAAGACCUUUAAUCAGGGACGAAAAAUGACGGUACCUGAAGAAUAAGCUCCGGCUAACUACGUGCCAGCAGCCGCGGUAAUACGUAGGGAGCAAGCGUUAUCCGGAUUUACUGGGUGUAAAGGGCGUGUAGGCGGGCUUGUAAGUCAGAAGUGAAAUCUGGGGGCUUAACCCCCAAACUGCUUUUGAAACUGCGGGUCUUGAGUGAUGGAGAGGCAGGCGGAAUUCCCAGUGUAGCGGUGAAAUGCGUAGAUAUCACGCAGAACUCCGAUUGCGAAGGCAGCAUACCGGCGCCCUACUGACGCUGAGGCACGAAAGCGUGGGUAUCGAACAGGAUUAGAUACCCGCGUAACU
rnacentral:rRNA from 1 species